rnacentral:rRNA from 1 species
AUUGAACGCUGGCGGCAUGCCUUACACAUGCAAGUCGAACGGCAGCACGGGUGCUUGCACCUGGUGGCGAGUGGCGAACGGGUGAGUAAUACAUCGGAACGUACCUUAUCGUGGGGGAUAACGCAGCGAAAGCUGUGCUAAUACCGCAUACGCCCUGAGGGGGAAAGCGGGGGAUCGCAAGACCUCGCGCGAUUAGAGAGGCCGAUGCCGGAUUAGCUAGUUGGUGGGGGAAAAGCCCACCAAGGCGACGAUCAGUAGCUGGUCUGAGAGGACGAGCAGCCACACUGGGACUGAGACACGGCCCAGACUCCUACGGGAGGCGGCAGUGGGGAAUGUUGGACAAUGGGGGCAACCCUGAUCCAGAGAUGCCGCGUGAGUGAAGAAGGCCUUCGGGUUGUAAAGCUCUUUUGUCAGGGAAGAAACACCGGCUCUAACACAGUACGGGAAUGACGGUACCUGAAGAAUAAGCACCGGCUGACUACGUGCCAGCCGCCGCUGUAA